GAGCUUUAUUGGAAAAAACUAAACAGAAGCAAGGUCAAAAUGGGAACAUGUGGACUGGACAGCACUGAAGCACAGGACAAACUCUGAGGCACACGCAGGGAGCAACAUCAAUGACUGGACUGGGGAGUACAUGACUGGGAAGCACUUUAUAACAGUACUGAUGAGGGAGCAAAUGAGAGGCAGCUUGAGUGAUCCAUACGAGGGCUGAAACCAGAGUAUAGCCUCCAGAACCAUGGCAUGUUUCCUGGCCGACCGGAUCAGUUUUCACCUGAGGAAACACAUGCUCGUGCGUGAGGUGAAAAGGCACAAGCACAUCAUCUACGGGAGCACCACUUGUCUACCUAAGCCUUUCAAGGGUUUCGGCAUGACGUGACAGGCUUCAGGUAUAGCCUCGCCCCGCUUUUGGCUGGGGACCCCUGCUUCACCUGAAGAAGGAGCGGCCUAUGUGCUUGGAACCCAGAGAGCAGGUAAACUCUGAUUCAUCUAGAUGAGACCCAGUGUAGAGCUGCGGAGUCUCAGAGGUGUAGGCUAUACCUCCCAUAUCUGUUCGAUGGGGAAGGAGAAUAGGAGGAAAUGUAGAUACGAUUCAUGUUAGGCAGCUAAAACACACACUGAGGCAGAGAGAAUGAGCUCAUUAUAGAAGCUAAGUGCAGCCCGUAGAUAUCUGGUAGACGUCCAUUCCGCUUCCAGAGCCAGAAAUAUUUUGACACUGGAAACCACCAGUGCCUUUGCCAAAAAGUUGCCAGCCAUGUAGUUGUG